rnacentral:tRNA from 1 species
GAAGGUGGAGCUCAGUGGUGGAGCACGUGCGUAGCAUGCAUGAGGUCCUGGGUUCAAUCCCUAGGACUUCCA